rnacentral:rRNA from 1 species
ACUCCUACGGGAGGCAGCAGUGGGGAAUAUUGCACAAUGGGGGAAACCCUGAUGCAGCCAUGCCGCGUGUGUGAAGAAGGCCUUGGGUUGUAAAGCACUUUCAGUAGGGAGGAAGGUAGUGUAGUUAACACCUGCACUAUUUGACGUUACCUACAGAAGAAGCACCGGCUAACUCCGUGCCAGCAGCCGCGGUAAUACGGAGGGUGCGAGCGUUAAUCGGAAUUACUGGGCGUAAAGCGCAUGCAGGCGGCCUGUUAAGUCAGAUGUGAAAGCCCGGGGCUUAACCUCGGAAUUGCAUUUGAAACUGGCAGGCUAGAGUCUUGUAGAGGGGUUAGAAUUUCAGGUGUAGCGGUGAAAUGCGUAGAGAUCUGAAGGAAUACCAGUGGCGAAAGGCGGCCCCCCUAGGACAAAAGGACUGACGCUCAGAUGCGAAAGCGUGGGAGCAAACAGGAUUA